UCGUCAGCUCGUGUCGUGAGAUGUUGGGUUAAGUCCCGCAACGAGCGCAACCCUUGUCCCUAGUUGCUACGCAAGAGCACUCUAGGGAGACUGCCGGUGACAAACCGGAGGAAGGUGGGGAUGACGUCAAGUCCUCAUGGCCCUUAUGGGUAGGGCUUCACACGUCAUACAAUGGUCGGAACAGAGGGUCGCUAACCCGCGAGGGGGAGCCAAUCCCAGAAAACCGAUCGUAGUCCGGAUCGCACUCUGCAACUCGAGUGCGUGAAGCUGGAAUCGCUAGUAAUCGCGGAUCAGCAUGCCGCGGUGAAUACGUUCCCGGGUCUUGUACACACCGCCCGUCACACCAUGGGAGUGGGUUUUACCAGAAGUGGCUAGUCUAACCGCAAGGAGGACGGUCACCACGGUAGGAUUCAUGACUGGGGUGAAGUCGUAACAAGGUAGCCGUA
rnacentral:rRNA from 1 species